rnacentral:misc_RNA from 1 species
CUCGACUUCUGGAACGGGAUCUAUGACAGCCUGUUCAGAUUGGAGCUCCCGAUCUGUGUUCGCCCAGUCGCUUACGCUGAUGACGUGGCGGCGGUGAUAAUCGAGCGCUCUCCGGAUCUGGCGCAGUACGAACUAAAUCAAGCAAUGAGUCGGACGGUCGACGAUUGACCACGGACUGCACCUCGCUACAGAGAAGACAGAAAGAACUAGUGCUUCUCAUCACCAAACGUAUACCGACCAGACUACGGAUGACGGUUGAGAUAGACGAGAUCGAGACCAGGGGUGAAGCAAGUACUUGGAGGUGACCCUAAAUACGAAGAUGACCUUCUGACCUUACAUACAGAGGACAGCCCGGAUGGCGGCCGGAAGGAUAGCACCCAUAAGCUGCCUGAUGGCGAACACGAACGGACCGAGGCCGGAGAAACUGAGACUGUUGAUGACGACGCACUCGAUUCCGCUCUACGGGGCGGAGAUCUGGGCAGAUUCCCUGAAGGCAAAGAAAUCACGCCAUGGCGCCACGAUGACUAUAGAGACGGAGCGCGUUGAGAAUCGCCGGCUCCUACCGGACUCAGUCAGCUCAGGUCAAUCUGGUGGUUGCGGGCGUGAUUCCCAUAGAUUUUCUUGCUUUCGAAUGCAAGAGGAUCUACGGCAGAGACGAUCGUGGGAAGCAUAACUUCCGACAACAUUGUCGAGGUGAUAUGCUCCACGGGGAACAGCAGUGACAACUCGUUGCCACCUCCACAGAGACCAUCUUACGACGAAAGAACGCGGACGGCUGCUUAACGUGACGUGACGUGACGUACACGGAGAAAGUGCCCAGCUAGAAGUAAUAUUAACGUAGUUCCCGGCUGGGGGCGGUUGCGCAAGAGGUGGCGGUUUUAGUGAGUAGGCUAUUCAGGACUCCCACAUCCGCUCCAGCCUGUAUGACUGACGUAAAUCCCCGUCACUUGGAUUCCGCAACUCCUCGGAUAAAAAAAGUCCGAGGAUGCAACUUCCUGGUUGGCUGAACCAUUGUCUACUGUUUCCGGUUUCUGUUCAUAAAUCGAGAGUCAAGAAGAAAAGAAGGCCGCUAGUUUAAUAUAUAAGAAAAUGAUGGAGUACGAUCUUCUACAGCCACGCGAUACGUUGAUUAAUCUGUCACCGCCGGCAAGGUUUAUGCCAUCGUCGAUCUUUGUCAAACGGUGCUUUCCAAUUGAUCGUCAGUCUGGAUCUCUCGUUGUGCAAACCGCAAAUGUAACUAGAAAAAUUCCAGUGAAGCGACUGGUUUCAAAGAAGUGGGUGUUCUAUAAUGUGAAUGUUGUAGAACACAUAAAAUGCGGAUACGUGCCCAUCUAAACAGUUCACGGAACAGAGCCAAAUAGAUGUCUGAAUUGCCAGAACUACAUCUGCAAAUCCAUCGAUGAAGAUUAAAACGAGAGAAAGUGGUGUGAAAAAACGAAACUAUACAGAUUGCAAAUGAAAAUAUGAUAGCAAAUGAAAAUAUGACAGCAACCGAAGUCUAGGGAAAAUCAUUUCGAUGAGUUUUGUUAAGAAUGAGAAAAUACCUACAAAACAGCUUCUGGAAUACUUCAGAUCGAGAUGUUGAAAAAGUUUGUUCAAAUUACGAUGACAGUCUGUCAACCUAAACAAACUUUUUACACUCUGUGGUGCUUGGUGUAGAAAGUUUGAUUUAUUAGCAGAGCGGUUACUCUUCGAAUCUUGUCUCAAUUUUAAAAAAAGUUUCACGUUCAAACACUUCUGAAAAUUGUUGUUUAUCCAGCUGCACAAAUCAGACACCCGAGUUCAAUUAUUUUCACCCAGAGUACAAUUUCUAUCGGUAAGAAAAAAUACAGGUUUCCUCUACCGAAUUUUGGUGCCGACAACAUGGGUUGGUUACUCGAAAAUUAGGAACUCUACGCUUUGUUUCGAUGUAUCGUAAUUGAAUAGUGUCAAAAAUUGGUAAAGACUUGACGCAUUGGAAAUGCGUCAUUGAUCGUGACAGACAUUUAGACGGAGAUCUAAAAAUUUGUAGGAGAUAUAUUUUCCUAAGUAUAAACGAAUAUCUGGAAAAUAGCAAUUCUUUCACAAUUAUUCACAUAUAACACAGAAUAUUCGUAAAUUGUACCAGGAAAACAUGUUGAAAAAUCUCGUUCGGAAUUUUCAAUAAUAAUGUUCCUAGCGAUUUGAGAAAAUGAGCCGGGAAUGUCUGGACUGUGUAUAGUGCAGAGCCCCCUCAUAAAAAUUAGGCCCUCUUAGCCUCUGUAUUGAACGUGUUAUUUACAUCAUGAUUGUUCGUUCUUCUGUGAAAAGUGCAUCAUUUCAGAUAACGGGAAAUGGCAGUGAUGAUUACUAUCAAUAUUAUUUAUUUAUUCAACUUAUUUUUUAUUUAUGUAAUUUAUUCCUCUAGAUUUUCAUCUUUCUCGCCAAAAUUGUUUGAUUCUAGUCAAGUUAAGGUGAUUCAGUUAUUUGACCGAAGGUGGUUAUGUAUUAUAUAUUAUUACGUACUGCAAUGCCAACGCACA